UGAAACUCAAAGGAAUAGAUGUGGGUCAGCACGAGCGGUGGAACAUAACGUUCACUUCGACGGUACGAGAGGAACCUAACCUGGGCACGAAAUGCUGCUGACCAGCUGUAGAAAUAUGGCCUUCCCGCAAGGGACAGUAGCAUGGGCGCUGCAUGGCUGUCGUCAGUUCGUGCCAUGAGGCGUUGGGUGAAGUCCCGCAACGAGCGCAACCCCUGCACGUAGUUGCCACUCGCAAGAGGGAACUCUACGUGGAGUGCUCCGGAUAAUGGAGAGGAAGGUGGGGAUGACGUCAAGUCCGCAUGGCCUUUAUGUCCAGGGCUACACACGUGUUACAAUGCAGGGCACAAACCGUUGCCAACCCGCGAGGGGGAGCUAAUCGGAAAAAACUCUGCUCAGUUCGGAUUGCAGUCUGCAACUCGACUGCAUGAAGCAGGAAUCGCUAGUAAUGGCGUAUCAGAUCGACGCCGUGAAUACGUUCCCGGGCCUUGUACACACCGCCCGUCACAUCACGAAAGUGAGCUGUACUAGAAGUCGUCGCGCUAACCGCAAGGAGGCAGACGCCCAAGGUAUGACUCAUGAUUGGGGUGAAGUCGUAACAAGGUAGCCGUAGGAGAACCUGCGGCUGGAUC
rnacentral:rRNA from 1 species